GAUGAAGAACCGCAGCGAAAUGCGAUAAGUAGUGUGAAUUGCAGAAUUCAGUGAAUCAUCGAAUCUUUGAACGCACAUUGCGCCCCUUGGUAUUCCAUGGGGCAUGCCUGUUCGAGCGUCAUUUGUACCUUCAAGCUCUGCUUGGUGUUGGGUGUUUGUCUCGCCUCUGCGUGUAGACUCGCCUCAAAACAAUUGGCAGCCGGCGUAUUGAUUUCGGAGCGCAGUACAUCUCGCGCUUUGCACUCAUAACGACGACGUCCAAAAGUACAUUUUUACACUCUUGACCUCGGAUCAGGUAGGGAUACCCGCUGAACUUAAGCAUAUCAAUAAGCGGAGGA
rnacentral:misc_RNA from 1 species